AUUGAACGCUGGCGGCAUGCUUUACACAUGCAAGUCGGACGGCAGCACAGAGGAGCUUGCUUCUUGGGUGGCGAGUGGCGAACGGGUGAGUAACGCAUCGGAACGUACCGAGUAAUGGGGGAUAACUGUCCGAAAGGACAGCUAAUACCGCAUACGCCCUGAGGGGGAAAGCGGGGGAUCUUAGGACCUCGCGUUAUUCGAGCGGCCGAUGUCUGAUUAGCUGGUUGGCGGGGUAAAGGCCCACCAAGGCGACGAUCAGUAGCGGGUCUGAGAGGAUGAUCCGCCACACUGGGACUGAGACACGGCCCAGACUCCUACGGGAGGCAGCAGUGGGGAAUUUUGGACAAUGGGCGCAAGCCUGAUCCAGCUAUGCCGCGUGUCUGAAGAAGGCCUUCGGGUUGUAAAGGACUUUUGUCAGGGAAGAAAAGGAACGUGUUAAUACCAUGUUCUGAUGACGGUACCUGAAGAAUAAGCACCGGCUAACUACGUGCCAGCAGCCGCGGUAAUACGUAGGGUGCGAGCGUUAAUCGGAAUUACUGGGCGUAAAGCGGGGCGCAGACGGUUACUUAAGCGGGAUGUGAAAUCCCCGGGCUCAACCCGGGAACUGCGUUCCGAACUGGGUGGCUAGAGUGUGUCAGAGGGGGGUAGAAUUUCCACGUGUAGCAGUGAAAUGCGUAGAGAUGUGGAGAAUACCGAUGGCGAAGGCAGCCCCCUGGGAUAACACUGACGUUCAUGCCCGAAAGCGUGGGUAGCAAACAGG
rnacentral:rRNA from 1 species